UACGUAGGGUGCAAGCGUUGUCCGGAAUUAUUGGGCGUAAAGAGCUCGUAGGCGGUUUGUUGCGUCGGCUGUGAAAUCCCGAGGCUCAAACCCUCGGGUCUGCAGUCGAUACGAGCAAACUAGAGUGUUGCAGGGGAGACUGGAAUUCCUGGUGUAGCGGUGAAAUGCGCAGAUAUCAGGAGGAACACCGGUGGCGAAGGCGGGUCUCUGGGCAGUAACUGACGCUGAGGAGCGAAAGCAUGGGGAGCGAACAGG
rnacentral:rRNA from 1 species